UGGAAGGAGGUAGUUGGAUAUAGCAGGUUUAAUUAAUUAAGAAAGAAUGGAAUGCGACGACGACGAAACGCAUAAUAUCCAGUUUAAAAAGAAGAAGAAGACGAAACCUUUAAGGAAACGCGAAGCUUCUCGGUUUGACAGCGAGGGAGAGAAAAUGUCCAAGGAGAAAGUCGAGGAAAUAAAGAUUAUUCAGAAACUCCGCGAGAGACCGGCUGGCGUCGAUAUUGUUGGUUUGGUGCUCGGAGAAAGCAUUGUAUUUAAUGUGUUGAUGUUGGAUCCCUUUAAUAUGAAAACUAGAAUGGUAAAUAUGUGCUGAAGAAUACAAAACGUAAGCUGAAUGAUGCAUACAUACAACAUUGGUAUUGGAAUUUAAUUUAACGCAGAGAUCAAUAAACGCGAUGAGGAUGAAAAAAAUGGUCAACUAUAUAGAAGAAGAAUUGUCUAAGCGCAAGUAAAAAUGAUAACAAUGCAGUACGAAUAAUGAGGGAUUAUAUUGGUCUUCAGAGGAAGCAGCGUUGCGCGGAGUACUGAAACAUUGAGGCAGAGCUCAACCAAUUGUAGCGAGGAAAUGCUUUUGAAUCAAAUGUUGUCUAGUAUUUCAGAAGUCGAUCUUAGCAUAGAAACCAAAAUUUGUAACAUUGAAGCUAUGAAGGUGGCAAAAUUAAAACUUAUUUGGGACAGACAGAAAAAAAUCUGUUAAUUCUUACGAUACAAUCAUUAUAUGAUAUAAUUUUGGAUAAUUAAAUUAUUAUUAUAAAUUGUUAUAAAUAUAAUUAUACGUUUUUUUUUUCAAAGUGCAUAUAUUUGUACGAAAAACUUAAAAGUGUAUGUUUAUGAAUUUUUACAUUUUUAAAAUUAAUUUAAAUAGAUAAAAAAUUGAUCGUAUACGACAUGCAUAUUUGUGAUUGUAUCAUUAAGAUAUCCUUUUUACAUAUUAGUACUGUAAGAAUCUUAUAGUAUAACUAUAUAUAUAUUAAAUGUCUAUUAAAAAAUUUAAAAGACAUA